GACGAACGCUGGCGGCGUGCCUAAUACAUGCAAGUUGAGCGCUGAAGGUUGGUACUUGUACCAACUGGAUGAGCAGCGAACGGGUGAGUAACGCGUGGGGAAUCUGCCUUUGAGCGGGGGACAACAUUUGGAAACGAAUGCUAAUACCGCAUAAAAACUUUAAACACAAGUUUUAAGUUUGAAAGAUGCAAUUGCAUCACUCAAAGAUGAUCCCGCGUUGUAUUAGCUAGUUGGUGAGGUAAAGGCUCACCAAGGUGAUGAUACAUAGCCGACCUGAGAGGGUGAUCGGCCACAUUGGGACUGAGACACGGCCCAAACUCCUACGGGAGGCAGCAGUAGGGAAUCUUCGGCAAUGGACGAAAGUCUGACCGAGCAACGCCGCGUGAGUGAAGAAGGUUUUCGGAUCGUAAAACUCUGUUGGUAGAGAAGAACGUUGGUGAGAGUGGAAAGCUCAUCAAGUGACGGUAACUAACCAGAAAGGGACGGCUAACUACGU
rnacentral:rRNA from 1 species